rnacentral:lncRNA from 1 species
CCCGCUUCAAUUUAGUAUGUUCACAUCGUAUAUAUUGUAUUACUGAGUGAAGCAUGCUUCAUGUAAACCUCUCAUAGAGUUUCCUUUCUUAUGCUUCAUGUGUUGCCAAAUGUGUGAGUGCCUGGAUAGUUUUACAAAACAUUUUUAUGAUGCCUGAAAUUGUAAUACUGGACUUGUGCAUCACAAUUAACAACAAAUCUUCAGCUUCAUGUUUUUUCAAUUUUACCUUUUUUUUUCAAUUGUAAUACUGGACUUGCGCAUCACAAUCCAUGAAACUUUUCUAUUCUGCAGAUAGAGCCAAUCCCAAGUGGAAAUCUGCCUCCUGGUUUUUAUCCUGUUGAAGGUUGCAAGCUUAUCAGAAAGGAAAAGGUAUUAUUUUCAAGAUUUUCCCUUUUCUUUUUUUCCUUUAUGAAGCUGUGAGUGUGCACUACAAUUUUAAAGCACAAGUUUGAAUGAAUUCCUUCUAUUUUGCUUGUUUGUAUUCAUGUUACUUUGGUUUUGCUGGAAUUCUUUGUUGUGAAUGUAAGGGAUAUAAUAAGACGUUUGAUACCUCUGUUAUAGGCAUUAGCUUAGACGAUAGAGUGAUAGAUGUUGCUCCCUUGAGGAGAUAUAUCGACCAUGAUGAGUAUUUAAGGGAUCAUGGGCUCAAUUACGAUACCUCAUCAUGUAGCUCAAGUUUCGGUGUCUAUGAGAACUAUAUAUUCUGUUUUUUUUUUUGUGGUUUACUCCAUAGUAAUGUUUUUAUAGUUAUAUUUUGCAAGUGGUGAUGUAAUGAGUUGAUUUUUAUUAGUAUUGAAAAAUUUGAAUUUGGGAUCGAAUUUCUUAAGUUGAGGUAGUUCGAAAAUUUUAUUCGAGCAAUUACAAGACUUGUUAUAAUUGAUAGUUAAAUUGAAUGUUAUAAUUGAAAAUGUACAUUUUAUGUAAGUACGUUUGAAUUGGUAUAGUGCAAUGAAAUUAAAAGAUUUGAAUUUCCAGUUGAACAAGCCUGCACAGAUUGAGAACCAAAGAGCCAACACUCAUAUUCUUUUCUAAUUUUCCUCUGAAAAAUAGGCAAGACCCCUUCCCCAUAUUUUAAUGGGGUUCUUCUCUUUUGUUGGAACCAAUUUUUCACUCAAUAGCCUGCUUAAAAUGCAGUUGUCUGUCACUAGGUUGAUUGGCUGAUUGACUGUGAUUCAUUUGCUGUUACUUUAGCUUGAUUUUUUUUAUGGAUAUAUGUAAAUGAUAAAUCAUGAUAAUUAUCAUCUUACUGCGCAACCAUGAGCAUGGAAAACUAGGAGAUUGGCAAUUUGUUUACAUGUAAUUGUGAAUAACUUGCGAAAUUGGUUUAGUUAGUUGAUUGAGUACCUUCAUCAAUUGUGAUUGAUUAAAUUGUAUUGCAAUAAAUGUAAGUAUGUUCUUUGACUUGCAAGUGAGGCUUUAAUUGGACACUAUCUCUUUUUUAAGUUUUAUAGAAUUUGGAAGUGAGUUAUGGAAUAAUAUUUUAAUAAUGUAUCAUUUUUUUAGCCUAUUUCAAUUUCAUUUAAAAUAUAUUAUUUUAUUUUAAAAAAUUGUUGAUAAUUAAAUAUAUAUUAAAAAAUAGUAUAUUAAAUUGAUAUAAUAAAGAUACCAUAUUGAUUCGAAAUUUACAUACAUAAUAAAUAUAAAUAUAUUAAUAAAUUUAAUAAAUAUAUAAUAAAGCUUGCAUUCUUUUGCUGUCCACUCUUGUUAUUUUCACCACUCCAACAUCAGCUCGUGCUCUAGUUAUCCAAAGUAAGACCAAAUUUAUUUAUCAGCUUAAUUGUAAGAUUUGGGUCUGAUUUUAUUACCUUAUGUUUUACUUUGAUCCAUAUAUAAACAAAGUAUUUUUUUUUUUGGUUUUUAGUAAUAUAGUAAAUUAGCUUAAUUAUGAGAUUUGGGUCUGAUUUUCUUAGCUUUGGUUUUUGUGUUUAAAAUAAGUGAUAUUGUUGAUUUCUGCAGAAAAAAAAAAGGAAUCCAAUACCGAAGCCAAAGCCAGGUCCCAGGUGUAGUAAGGUACAUGGUAAACGUGUAUGCAUAGGAUAUUGAUAAAACCAAAGAAAAACUACAUAUAUAUAUACAUGCCCAAGUUGCUUCCUCAUCUUGUUCUUCAGGCCGGUAUAUGUAUAUAAGGUGGCUUUCAUUGAUGUAUUUAUCUGCACUUUGGAAAUCGGAAUUGUAAUUUGUGGUAAUGCUUGAUGUAGUUGAAAGUGUUCUUGAAAAUAAUACGCGCUCACGUCAUUUUUAUUAUUAUCAUAUCAGUGAUGGUGUAAACUAAAUUAAAAUUGAAUCCGCAAAAUCAUAGAUAUAAUUGUAUUACAAAGCUGAUGAAAAUACCAACCUUCUAUAAUGUUGUGAAUUGAAACCAUUUUUCUCUCAACUUUCUUUAAAUGUGUAGUGUGCUAGUUUGAAUUGUUUUUUGUAUUGUACUAAACUUGUCGAAUUAUAAUUUGAUUUCUUUUCAUUCAUCAUGUGUUAUAAUUUUAUACAGUGUUGAGUUUUUGAUUCAUGAUAUUGAACUUAAUUUUAAUUUUAUAAAGUAUUCCCCUAUUGAUUCAUGAUAUUAAACUUAAUUUUAUUUUGUUUUUUUUCUUAAGAUAAUUAUGUCGAGUGUUUCAGAAUCAAAUGUUUUUUCCCAAGCAUCUCGAGGAACCAAAAGGAAAUGGGUUCCAGAAGAAGAUGCAGCAUUGGUUUCCUACAUGGUGGACUUGCACAAUGUUGGAACAUUUAAUGCUGAUACGGGGUUCAAAGCCGAUUAUUUAAACGAGUUGGAAAAAAUGUUAGAAAAGGCUUUACCCAAUGCAAUGUUGAAGGCUAGACCUAAUAUUGAGUCAAGGAUUAGGUUACUAAAAAGGGAUUGGUCAAUCAUGUAUGACAUGUUUAAUGGCCAAAACACAAGCGGUUUUGGUUGGGAUGAGCAUAGGCAGCUCGUUGUUGCUGAAGAUGCGGUUUGGGACUCUUAUUUAAAGGUAAGAAUUAGUUCAAGUUUUUAUUAUCUUAUUUUUACCAAACUUAUAACUAAUAUGAUUUCCUCAUUUUUAUAGUCAUAAAGAAGCCGGUCAAUUCAAACAUCGUAGUUUCCUUUACUACGACCAAAUUACUACCAUAUACGCAAGAGAUUGAGCGACUGGGAAAGAUGCUCAAACAGCCGCUGAUGUUCUUAAAGAAAUAAAUGUUGAGGAUGUACCUACUGCAGAUAUUAAUGAAGAAAGAAACGAAUACUAUGACUGCGAUGCUAAUGUCUCUUUGGAUGACAUGGAUGUUUCUGCUACGGAGCCGCAACCGGAUAGAAACCAAGGGGGUUCCUCAUCUUCAAAGAAGAAAAGAAAGAAUUCUGAUACAAGUGAUCAUGUUUCUUCUUCUUCAGUUCAUGAUGCUGCCAGUUUAUUGGCGGAAAACAUGCAGACCAUUGGCGAACAAAUCAGUAGGAGUAUUGCCUCCGAUGUGGUAGUUCAACAGAAGUCAGAAGAAUUCCAGAUCAUUCAAGAAAAAGUUACAAAUUUAUAUCCAACCUUACGUGAAAUAGAAGGUUUAACAGAGGACGAGCGGUUUCGAGCAUUGAGUAAAAUUUUAGAUCACCCAACUCAAAUGCUCGUUUUCUUUAGUUUACCUUCUAAUGUGCGGUUGAAAUGGGUUAGAAGAUUUCUUGCUGACCAUUAAAAAUUAUGGUUUUGUUGAUGAUAUUUUCGUAACUUUUUCUGUUUGUAAUAUUUGGGAUGGUAUGUCAUUAUAAAGUUCUAACUUUUUGAUGUGGCAAAACUGUAUAACAUAUGGAUUAUGAUAUAGAAUUUCAUGAAUUUCAUUUAACCUUUUGUUAAUAUAUGAAAAUUAUGUUUAUGCAAAAUAUAAUUCUAAAGUUAUUUAUUACUGCUAAUAUUUUUUUAUUGUAGAAUAAUUAAAUUAUUUGUUCCACUAAUGAUAUUUUAGCACAUUAAAUAUGUAUUGCAGUUUAAAAACAUGGAUGUAAAUUUGGCAUUUUGGGCCCACAAUCCAAGGACGUCAACUUUAUCUUUUUCAAUAUUAGAUUGUAGUUUUUAUCAAAAUUAAGCAUGGUGGCGUUAAUGUUUAAAUUUUUUUUAAAUUUGUCUAAUUUUUUUCAUUGCUUUUUCUCCUUAAAUUGUUUUUUUUAUAAAUUUAUUAUUCUAAUAAAUAAAUGUCAUGUUAAAGAAUGAGGAAAAUAGAUAUUCAUUUAUUUAUAAAUAUUUUUAUAAUUUUGUAUGUAUUUUUAUUGAAAAAUAAAUGUUUAAAUUUUUUAGUUUUUUAAUUUUUAUUUUUGAAUUUUAAGAAUAAAGGUUAAAUUGAUAUAAUAUGUAAAAUUGAAGGUUAAGUUUAUUGAAUUUUUUAAAGUUAGGACCAGAUUAAUAGACUUUGUAAGUAUUGUAGUAUUAUAUAUUAUGAUUUUAGUAAAUUCAUAUAAGAAUAUUUAAUAUUAAAAAUUUUAUUGAAUUAUAUAUUUUUAUUAAAUUAUAUUUAAUAAUAAUUAUGUUAAAAUUAUAUUUUAUAGUAUUAUAUAUUAUGAUUGUAAUAGGGCCCAAUUGUCCCAGGCCCAAACAUAAAAAAAACACAGCCCAAUUUUUACAAGGCCCAAAUUAAACCCUAGCCUAAACCCCCCUCAAAAAAGAGAAAACCAAAGCAGCAUACAACCUUCAGCCCUAGCCGCCACACAUCAGCAUUGUACCACCGCCCUUUACGCAUGUACGUGUCCCACGUACAUCUCCAGUCGGCCGAAUCUGCGCAACAAAUGGAAAAACAGAUGCAAAGAACGAGUAAACGAAAGAGAAAAGCGUAAAAAAGGAGAAAAUAACGGAAACACAACUGUGUUGUGUUAUUUCUUUGGUUUUUUUUUUCUCUCAUUUUUUGGCUAUAAAAAGCCUGGAUCUAUGUACUAAAUGGGGGGAUGGAGUGUAAAGAAAGACACAUAUAUUGAAAAACACUGAAAUACGAAAGAGAAGAAUCAGAAAAAAUAAAUUUUUGAAGGUGAUUUGUUCUUUCCCAGUUUGUUUACUGUUUCUAUUUUUUUGGUCUCAUCUUUUUCUUUUGUAUUUUACUUCAUUUUUUUAAAAAAUAAAACGAAAAGUAAAAGAAAGGGAGGAGAUUCUUACCAGCAGAGGUGCGCCGGCGGCAUCGUUUGCUUCGUUUUGUCUAAAUCGAAGUUAAAGGGGAGGGGGUUUUGGCGUGAAUAGUUAGGAAGAAGAUGAAACAAUUUGUGAAACUAUUGCUGCUGCAGAAUAGCUUUUAAAUUUGAGAUUGAAAAGGGUUUUAAGCACUGAUGGGUUAUUUCAGCUUUAAAUCCUUCCAUUUUAUCCCAUCAUUCCAAAAU